rnacentral:rRNA from 1 species
GAUGAACGCUGGCGGCGUGCCUAAUACAUGCAAGUCGAGCGCGACUGAUUGCACCGUCCUUCGGGACACCGUAAUCAUUGAGCGGCGGACGGGUGAGUAACACGUGGGCAACCUACCCUUAAGACUGGGAUAACCGCGGGAAACCGUGGCUAAUACCGGAUAAUACUUUUAUACAACGGUAUAGAAGUUGAAAGGUGGAUUUCUAUCACUUAAGGAUGGGCCUGCGGCGCAUUAGCUGGUUGGUAAGGUAACGGCUUACCAAGGCGACGAUGCGUAGCCGACCUGAGAGGGUGAUCGGCCACACUGGAACUGAGACACGGUCCAGACUCCUACGGGAGGCAGCAGUAGGGAAUCUUCCGCAAUGGGCGAAAGCCUGACGGAGCAACGCCGCGUGUGCGAAGAAGGUCUUCGGAUCGUAAAGCACUGUUGUUAAGGAAGAACGACAGUAAGAGUAACUGUUUACUGUGUGACGGUACUUAACCAGAAAGCCACGGCUAACUACGUG